rnacentral:rRNA from 1 species
AGAACGAACGCUGGCGGCAGGCUUAACACAUGCAAGUCGAACGCUCGUAGCAAUACGGGAGUGGCAGACGGGUGAGUAACGCGUGGGAACAUACCCUCCGGUUCGGAAUAGCUCAGGGAAACUUGAGCUAAUACCGGAUACGCCCUUACGGGGAAAGAUUUAUUGCCGAAGGAACGGCCCGCGUCCGAUUAGCUAGUUGGUGAGGUAAUGGCUCACCAAGGCUCCGAUCGGUAGCUGGUCUGAGAGGAUGACCAGCAUCACUGGGACUGAGACACGGCCCAGACUCCUACGGGAGGCAGCAGUGGGGAAUAUUGGACAAUGGGCGCAAGCCUGAUCCAGCCAUGCCGCGUGGAUGAUGAAGGCCUUAGGGUUGUAAAGUCCGUUUUAACGGGGAAGAUAAUGACGGUACCCGUAGAAUAAGCCCCGGCUAACUUCGUGCCAGCAGCCGC